rnacentral:rRNA from 1 species
UGCAAGUCGAACGGGAAAUAUUUCAUUGAGACUUCGGUGGAUUUGAUCUAUUUCUAGUGGCGGACGGGUGAGUAACGCGUGGGUAACCUGCCUUAUACAGGGGGAUAACAGUCAGAAAUGGCUGCUAAUACCGCAUAAGCGCACAGAGCUGCAUGGCUCAGUGUGAAAAACUCCGGUGGUAUAAGAUGGACCCGCGUUGGAUUAGCUUGUUGGUGGGGUAACGGCCCACCAAGGCGACGAUCCAUAGCCGGCCUGAGAGGGUGAACGGCCACAUUGGGACUGAGACACGGCCCAGACUCCUACGGGAGGCAGCAGUGGGGAAUAUUGCACAAUGGGGGAAACCCUGAUGCAGCGACGCCGCGUGAAGGAAGAAGUAUCUCGGUAUGUAAACUUCUAUCAGCAGGGAAGAUAGUGACGGUACCUGACUAAGAAGCCCCGGCUAACUACGUGCCAGCAGCCGCGGUAAUACGUAGGGGGCAAGCGUUAUCCGGAUUUACUGGGUGUAAAGGGAGCGUAGACGGUGUGGCAAGUCUGGUGUGAAAGGCAUGGGCUCAACCUGUGGACUGCAUUGGAAACUGUCAUACUUGAGUGCCGGAGGGGUAAGCGGAAUUCCUAGUGUAGCGGUGAAAUGCGUAGAUAUUAGGAGGACACCAGUGGCGAAGGCGGCUUACUGGACGGUA